rnacentral:rRNA from 1 species
CCCCAGACUCCUACGGGAGGCAGCAGUGAGGAAUAUUGGUCAAUGGGCGGAAGCCUGAACCAGCCAAGUCGCGUGAGGGAAUAAGGCCCUACGGGUCGUAAACCUCUUUUGCCGGGGAGCAAGGGCGGGGACGUGUCCCGGCCCGGAGAGUACCCGGAGAAAAAGCAUCGGCUAACUACGUGCCAGCAGCCGCGGUAAUACGUAGGGGGCAAGCGUUAUCCGGAAUUACUGGGUGUAAAGGGAGCGUAGACGGUGAAGUAAGUCUGGAGUGAAAGGCGGGGGCCCAACCCCCGGACUGCUCUGGAAACUAUUUGACUGGAGUGCAGGAGAGGUAAGCGGAAUUCCUAGUGUAGCGGUGAAAUGCGUAGAUAUUAGGAGGAACACCAGUGGCGAAGGCGGCUUACUGGACUGUAACUGACGUUGAGGCUCGAAAGCGUGGGGAGCAAACAGGAUUAGAUACCCCGGUAC